GUGGCUGUGGUGAGGUUGGCACACUAGACCAUCAGUCUCUCACACACACACACACACACACACACACACUAGAGCAUCAGUCUCUCACACACACACACACACACACACACACACUAGACCAUCAGUUUGGAGCUGAAGAUAUAAACUAAAUAUUGUAAUGAAAUGACGGUGUGUGUGAUGAUGUGUUAGAAAUGUUUUGACAUGACUCUUGUGUGGGGGGAGGGAUCUAAGGGAAGAGCUGGGGGUGUUAAUUAAUGGGCUACACCUGGUCAUUGAUGAGGGUGGAGGAGAGUGAACGUGGAACAUAAUCAUUGCUGAGAGAACAUGGAUAACAGAACUCCACAGCGAAAGAUCGUUUGUUUGGUGGCGUCAGAGCGGACGACACACACGAGGAUCAGCCUGAGGGACGCUACGCUCUGAUUGGUGCAGGGG
rnacentral:lncRNA from 1 species